rnacentral:lncRNA from 1 species
AAAGGAGCUGGCUCGCAGUCCCUGUCUCGCGGGGGGUGCCUCCCCCAACUGCGAUGGGGGUCCUAAGAGCCGGGGGGGGGGAAGAGGGGCUGGCUCUCAGUCCCCGCCUCGCGGGAGGUGCCUCCCCCCACUGCGAUGGGGGUCCCAAGAGCCAGGGAGGGAAGAGGGGCUGGCUCUCAGUCCCCGCCUCGCGGGAGGUGCCUCCACCCCUUCCCAUGGGGGUCCCAAGACCGAGGGAGGGGAGAGGGGCUGGCUCUCAGUCCCCUCCUCCCGGGGGUACCUCCUCCGCCUGCGAUGGGGGUCCCAAGAGACAGGGGGGGAAGAGGGGCUGGCUCUCAGUCCACGCCUCGUGGGGGAUGCCUCCCCCCCCUGCGAUUGGGGUCCCAACAGCCAGCGGGGGAAGAGGGGCUGGUUCUCAGUCCCCGCCUCGCGGGGGAUGCCUCCCCGUGCUGCGAUGGGGGUCCUAAAAGCCAGGGGGUGAAAAGGGGCUGGCUCUCAGUCCCCACCUCGCGAGGGGUGCCUCUCCCCCCUGCGAUAGGUGUCCUAAUAGCCAGGGGGGGAAGAGGGGCUGGCUCUCAGUCCCUGCCUCGCGGGUGGUCCUUCACCCCGCUGCGAUGGGGGUCCUAAGAGCAAGGGGGGGAAGUGGGGCUGGCUCUCUGUCCCCGCCUCGCCGGGGGUGCCUCGCACCCUUGCGAUGGGGGUCCUAAGAGCCAGUAGGGGAAGAGGAGCUGGCUCUCAGUCACCACAGCAUGGGGGGCCUUUCUGUUCUGGUUUUGCCCAAGAGUAAGCUUAUUUGCAUCUGGUUCUAGCAAGGGAAUUGCUGCGAAGGCCCUCAAACAGGGGGGCCAUCCUUUCGAAUCCCUAUCUAGUUGUUUAGAGAUGUAGGCCACCGGCCUCAGCCAAGGCCCCACAGUUUGGGUUAAAAGUCCAGCUGCCAUCUUUUCUCUCUGACGCAUACAAUGGAAAAGGCUUUGUGAGAUCGGGUAGCCCCUCGGCUGGGGCUUUCAGAAGUUUUUCCUUUAAGUCAUGAAAGACUUGCUGUUGUUGGAAUCCCCAUUCCAAAAGUUCCCGGUCCCCGCCCCCAUUGUGACCUCAUACAAAGGCUUGGCUAAUACUGCAAAGUUUGGGAUUCCCAGUCUACAAAACCCCACAGCUCCUAGGAAUUCUCUCACCACCCUUGUGCCUUUAGGCUUCGGUAGAUUGCAAAUGACCUGCUUUCUUUCGGAUCCCGGGCUGCUUUCGGACACCUGUCGAAUAGUAAAUCCCAAGUAAGGUACCUGCGGUCGUCGGCAGAUCUGAAUUUUCUUCUUGGACACCUAAUACCCACAGUCCUCCAGAGACCGAGAGGUUGAUGUCACUCCCAAUAUCGGAGGAAGUAUACACCCCCGUGUGAGAUGGUCCUUAAUAAUAUUCCACGGCGGAGGGGGUGAUAUGACUACAUACAUGGCAGAAAGUGGAAACCUCCCAGGGAUAUUGUUCCCACGAUCCUGGAGGGAAGAAGAUGAUGUUACUUUCAAUAUGACAGAAGGUGGAUGAAGUGGUGGACUGCCCCUCCACACCUGUGGACACGCCCCCACUGAUAUUCCUUCUAAUUGCAGCGUGGGAGAGGAGGAUAUGACACGCGAUAUCGCAGGGAGUAGAAACACCCCUGUGAUACUGUUCUUAAUAUUCAGGGAGGAAGAGGAUGAUAUUACUCCCAAUACAGACGGGUGUACACCCUCUGUACACCGAGGGUGUACACCUGUCUGUGAAAGAGUUCGUAAUCUCCAGAGGGGGAGAUGAUAUUACUCACAAUAUGGUAAAGAGGCUGUGAGUCCACGGAGGAUCCUCAGAGCCAGCGGGGGAAGAGGGGCUGGCUCUCAGUCCCCGCCUCGCGGGGGUGACUCCCCCCAGUGCGAUGGGGGUCCUAAGAGCCAGUGGGGGAAGAGGGGCUGGCUCUGAGACCCCGCCUCGCGGGGGGUGCCUCCCCGCCCUGUGAUGGGGGUCCGAAGAGCCAGAAGGCUUAGAGGGGCUGGCUCUCAGUCCCCGCCUCGCGGGGGGUGCCUCCUCCCCCUGCGAUGGGGGUCGUAAGAGCCACUGGGGGAAUAGGGGCUUGCUCUCAGUCACCGCCUCGCGGGGGGUGCCUCCUUUCCUUUCUACAUAGACACAGUGACAGUCUGAUCUCUCUUUCUUUUCCCUACAGAUGGACACGCCCCCACUGAUAUUGUUUUUAAUGCAGCGUGGGAGGGGAGGAUAUGACACGCGAUAUCGCAGGUAGUAGAAACACCCCUUUGAUAGUGUUCUUAAUAUUCAGGGAGGAAGAAGAUGAUGUUACUCCCAAUACAGACGGAUGUACACCCUCUGUACACCGAGGGUGUACACCCGUCUGUGAAGGAGUUCGUAAUCUCCAGAGGUGGAGAUGAUAUUACUCACAAUAUGGUAAACAGGCUGUGAGUCCAUCGCGGAUCCUCAGAGCCAGGUGGGGAAGAGGGGCUGGCUGUCAGUCCCCUCCUCGCGGGGGGUGCCUCCCCCACUGCUAUGGGGAUCCCAAGAGCCAGUGGGGGAAGAGGUGCUGGCUCUCAGUCUCCGCCUCGCGAGGUGCCUCCCCACCCUGCGAUCGGGGUCCGAAGAGCCAGGGGGGAAGAGGGGCUGGCUCUCUUCGUGGAUGAUUCUUUUUCCAUUCUCAGGCAGUUUUCUUUUUUCUUUCUUUCUUUUUUUUUUUUUUUGAGACUGAGUCUUGCUCUGUUGCCCAUGCUUUGCUCGAUCUCGGGUGACUGCAACCACUGCCUCCCAGGUUCAAGAGAUUCUCCUGCCUCAGCCUCCUGAGUAGCUGGGACUAGAGGCGUGUGUCACCACACCCAGCUAAUUUUUGUAUUUUUAGUAGAGAUGGGGUUUCACCAUGUUUGCCAGGAUGGUCUCUAUCUCCUGCCCUUGUGAUCCACCCACCUCAGCCUCCCAAAGUGCUGGGAUUGCAGGUGCGAGCCACCGGGUCCAGCCUCUCAGGCGAUUUUCAUACCUGCAUACUCUGGUCACUACUCUGUUAAACAGUCAAGGAGGGUAAGUAUUAUCUUCAGAUUUCCAGAGCUCUGUCUCUGUACAGCCCUCUCCUCCUCAAUAUUCUGCCCUAUGAAUUCUAGCCACAUUGGCCUUCCCAGGCUCACAGUUCUGUCUUCUCAACUCAGGAAGAUCUCUGAGUUCCAUCUGCAUUCUUUCUUCCUGUGCUGUGGCCUGGAAAGUUUUCUAAGGUGUUAGGGAGGUCAAUUGUGGGGCUAGCCUCAUUUGUUUCUCAUCUCUUGAGGAUCACUGCCCUUUGAUGCUUGAUUCCAGUGAUUGAUUCCCUUUGUUGCUUGAGGGCCAUAGUUUCAUAUAUUUUGUCCAGUAGUUUUGUUGUUUUAGGUCAGAAAGUAAUUUUGGUCUCUGUUACUCUAUCUUGGCCAGAAGUGUAAGACCUAAGCAUUUACACAUCAAAAUACUGCACACAUAAUUUUAGUUUAAGCUACUUUUUAAAAAAUCUCCUUCAUUUUCCAUUUAGCAUUCUAUUUAGGGUAUUACAUUGGUUUUUUUGAAAUUCUGUUAUUGGCAGUUUCUAUUGCCUAUCAAUCCCAUUUAAAGAUAGUGCAUAGGGUAUUCUAAAAUAGCUGUUAAGCAAAGAGAAAAUUGGGCCUGAUAGGGUGAGAAUCACAGCUCUAAUACCUAGAGUGACCUUAUAAUGUAUUGUCCAAAGGAGAUAUUUUUGACAGUGAAAGAGGGUGUUGUUAGUAAUUAUAUCAGGACCAUGGCCUAAACCAGGACUAUCCCAGGAAGCCUGGGACAUAUUUGUACCCCAUCUCUAUUUAAUGCCUUUAUACAAUUCUUUACUUAAUUCUACCAGCCUUUAUUGAGCCUGCUUUCUUUGUCUAGCUGAGUGCCACGUGCUGACGUCACUAAGAUCAAUACAGCAAACUCUGAAAGAUGGACAGAGAGACAGGAGAUGGUCCUUUAUAAUGCAGUGUGAUCUGUGCUGCAAUAGAGAUGGAAGAGUGUUCUGAUCGGCUGGAAAACAACGCACAUGGGAAGCUGUACAGAAAUGAGUGGGGAAAGUUUUGGAAGCUAGAAGUUCAAAACGAGGUGUUGGCAGCACCAUGCUCUCUCUGAAGAUGCUAGGAAGAAUCUGCUCCAUGCCUUUCCAUUCGCUUCUGGGGUUUCCUGCAAGCCCUGACAUUCCUUGGCUUGUAGAUGCAUCACCCCAGUUUCCGCCCCCAUCAUCACAUGGCCUCCUCUCUGUGUGUGCCUCUGCGUUCCCUCUAUUCUUCUUCUAAGGACACCGACACCAGUCAUAGUGGAUUAAGUGUCCACUCCUAACCAAUUACAUCUGCAACAACCCUAUUUCCAAAUAAAGUCACAUUCUAAGAUUCCUAGGGAGAACAUG